rnacentral:rRNA from 1 species
UACAUAGGGUGCGAGCGUUAAUCGGAAUUACUGGGCGUAAAGCGCGCGUAGGCGGCUUUGCAAGCCGGAUGUGAAAUCCCCGGGCUUAACCUGGGAACUGCAUUCGGGACUGCAUUGCUAGAGUACGGGAGAGGGAAGUGGAAUUUCAGGUGUAGCGGUGAAAUGCGUAGAUAUCUGAAGGAACAUCAGUGGCGAAAGCGACUUCCUGGACCAAUACUGACGCUCAUGUGCGAAAGCGUGGGGAGCAAACAGG